rnacentral:rRNA from 1 species
GUAGGUGGCAAGCGUUGUCCGGAAUUAUUGGGCGUAAAGCGCGCGCAGGCGGUUCUUUAAGUCUGAUGUGAAAGCCCACGGGCUCAACCGUGGAGGGUCAUUGGAAACUGGAGAACUUGAGUAUAGAAGAGGAAAGCGGAAUUCCACGUGUAGCGGUGAAAUGCGUAGAGAUGUGGAGGAACACCAGUGGCGAAGGCGGCUUUCUGGUCUGUAACUGACGCUGAGGCGCGAAAGCGUGGGGAGCAAACAGGAUUAGAUACCCUGGUAGUCCACGCCGUAAACGAUGAGUGCUAAGUGUUAGGGGGUUUCCGCCCCUUAGUGCUGCAGCUAACGCAUUAAGCACUCCGCCUGGGGAGUACGGCCGCAAGGCUG